UACAGAGGUCCCGAGCGUUGUUCGGAUUCACUGGGCGUAAAGGGUGCGCAGGUGGGUUUGCAAGUUCGAUGUGAAAGCCCCCGGGCUUAACCCGGGAAUGGCAUUGGAUACUGCAGAUCUGGAGGAUCGGAGGGGGACUGGAAUUCUUGGUGUAGCAGUGAAAUGCGUAGAUAUCAAGAGGAACACCAGUGGCGAAGGCGAGUCCCUGGACGAUACCUGACACUGAGGCACGAAAGCUAGGGGAGCAAACAGG
rnacentral:rRNA from 1 species